AAUAGAUACCCCGGUAGUCCACGCUGUAAACGUUGGACACUAGGUGUGGCGGUCUGAUCAACGACUGCCGUGCCGAAGCUAACGCAUUAAGUGUCCCGCCUGGGGAGUACGGGCCGCAAGGCUAAAAACUCAAAGGAAUUGACGGGUCCCCGCACAAGCGGCGGAGCAUGCGGCUUAAUUCGAUGCAACCCGAAGAACCUUACCUGGGUUUGACAUCAUGGGAAAAGCCGUGGAAACACGGUGUCCGAAAGGGCCCAUGACAGGUGGUGCAUGGCUGUCGUCAGCUCGUGUCAUGAGAUGUUGGGUUAAGUCCCGCAACGAGCGCAACCCUUGUCCUAUGUUGCCAGCGGUUCGGCCGGGGGACUCAUAGGAGACUGCCGGGGAUAACUCGGAGGAAGGUGAGGACGAUGGUCAAGUCAUCAUGCCCCUUAUAUCCAGGGCUGCACGCAUGCUACAAUGGUCGGUACAACGGGCAGCGAUCCUGCGAAGGUGAGCGAAUCCCACAAAGCCGGCCUCAGUUCGGAUUGG
rnacentral:rRNA from 1 species